rnacentral:misc_RNA from 1 species
CCUUCGAGCCACUUCAUUCCAGAAAAUUGAGAAAGUUAAGUAGAAGUAGUAGUAGUAGCAGUAGAAAGAAUUUUCAGCUGUCUUCAGCAAAGGCUUGGUGAGUUUUGGGCACCUGAGAAAAGUUCUCGACGAGGGAUCUGGUCAAUAAGGGAUGAUUUGGAAAUCCCAUCAUCACCUUACUUCCCUGCAUACGCUAACGGGCAAGGUCAAGCACAAGGGCCACCUCCAAUGGUGCAUGAGAGAUUCCAGAGUGUUAUUAGUCAGCUUUUUCAAUACAGAAUUAUACGCUGUGGUGGAGCUGUUGAUGAUGACAUGGCAAACAUUAUUGUUGCUCAGCUUCUCUACCUUGAUGCAGUUGAUCCUAAUAAGGACAUUAUAAUGUACGUAAAUUCUCCAGGAGGAUCAGUUACAGC